rnacentral:rRNA from 2 species
CAUCUCCGGGGGUAGAGCACUGUUUCGGCUAGGGGGCCAUCCCGGCUUACCAACCCGAUGCAAACUGCGAAUACCGGAGAAUGUUAUCACGGGAGACACACGGCGGGUGCUAACGUCCGUCGUGAAGAGGGAAACAACCCAGACCGCCAGCUAAGGUCCCAAAGUCAUGGUUAAGUGGGAAACGAUGUGGGAAGGCCCAGACAGCCAGGAUGUUGGCUUAGAAGCAGCCAUCAUUUAAAGAAAGCGUAAUAGCUCACUGGUCGAGUCGGCCUGCGCGGAAGAUGUAACGGGGCUAAACCAU